AGUGAACGCUGGCGGUAGGCCUAACACAUGUAAGUCGAACGGCAGCACAGUAAGAGCUUGCUCUUACGGGUGGCGAGUGGCGGACGGGUGAGGAAUACAUCGGAAUCUACUUUUUCGUGGGGGAUAACGUAGGGAAACUUACGCUAAUACCGCAUACGACCUACGGGUGAAAGCAGGGGAUCUUCGGACCUUGCGCGAUUGAACGAGCCGAUGUCGGAUUAGCUAGUUGGCGGGGUAAAGGCCCACCAAGGCGACGAUCCGUAGCUGGUCUGAGAGGAUGAUCGGCCACACUGGAACUGGGACACGGUCCAGACUCCUACGGGAGGCAGCAGUGGGGAAUAUUAGACAAUGGGCGCAAGCCUGAUCCAGCCAUACCGCGUGGGUGAAGGAGGCCCUCGGGUUGUAAAGCCCUUUUGUUGGGAAAGAAAAGCAGCAGGUUAAUACCCCGCUGUCCUGACGGUACCCAAAGAAUAAGCACCGGCUAACUUCGUG
rnacentral:rRNA from 1 species